UACGAAGGGGGCUAGCGUUGCUCGGAAUGACUGGGCGUAAAGGGCGCGUAGGCGGAUGGCACAGUCAGAUGUGAAAUUCCCGGGCUUAACCUGGGGGCUGCAUUUGAUACGUGUGAUCUAGAGUGAGGAAGAGGGUCGUGGAAUUCCCAGUGUAGAGGUGAAAUUCGUAGAUAUUGGGAAGAACACCGGUGGCGAAGGCGGCGACCUGGUCCUUGACUGACGCUGAGGCGCGAAAGCCAGGGGAGCAAACGGG
rnacentral:rRNA from 1 species